UACGUAGGGCGCAAGCGUUGUCCGGAAUUAUUGGGCGUAAAGAGCUCGUAGGCGGUUUGUCGCGUCUGCCGUGAAAGUCCGGGGCUCAACUCCGGAUCUGCGGUGGGUACGGGCAGACUAGAGUGAUGUAGGGGAGACUGGAAUUCCUGGUGUAGCGGUGAAAUGCGCAGAUAUCAGGAGGAACACCGAUGGCGAAGGCAGGUCUCUGGGCAUUAACUGACGCUGAGGAGCGAAAGCAUGGGGAGC
rnacentral:rRNA from 1 species